GUGCUUAACACAUGCAAGUCGAGCGGUAAGGCCCUUCGGGGUACACGAGCGGCGAACGGGUGAGUAACACGUGGGUGACCUGCCCUCCACUCUGGGAUAAGCCUGGGAAACUGGGUCUAAUACCGGAUAUGACCACAUGUCGCAUGGUGUGUGGUGGAAAGCUUUUGUGGUGGGGGAUGGGCCCGCGGCCUAUCAGCUUGUUGGUGGGGUGAAGGCCUACCAAGGCGACGACGGGUAGCCGGCCUGAGAGGGCGAUCGGCCACACUGGGACUGAGACACGGCCCAGACUCCUACGGGAGGCAGCAGUGGGGAAUAUUGCACAAUGGGCGGAAGCCUGAUGCAGCGACGCCGCGUGAGGGAUGACGGCCUUCGGGUUGUAAACCUCUUUCAGUACCGACGAAGCGAGAGUGACGGUAGGUACAGAAGAAGCACCGGCCAACUACGUGCCAGCAGCCGCGGUAAUACGUAGGGUGCGAGCGUUGUCCGGAAUUACUGGGCGUAAAGAGCUCGUAGGCGGUUUGUCACGUCGGCUGUGAAAUCCCUCCGCUCAACCGUGGGCUUGNAGUCGAUAC
rnacentral:rRNA from 1 species